CGGGUGAGUAAUGCAUAGGAAUCUACCUAGUAGUAUAGGAUAGCCACUAGAAGUGGUGGGUAAUACUGUAUAAUCCCUGCGGGGGAAAGAUUUAUCGCUACAUGAUGAGCCUAUGUUAGAUUAGCUAGUUGGUGGGGUAAUGGCCUACCAAGGCAGUGAUCUAUAGCUGGUCUGAGAGGAUGAUCAGCCACACUGGAACUGAGACACGGUCCAGACUCCUACGGGAGGCAGCAGUGGGGAAUAUUGGACAAUGGGCGCAAGCCUGAUCCAGCUAUGCCGCGUGAGUGAGGAAGGCCUUAGGGUUGUAAAACUCUUUCAGUGGGGAAGAUAAUGACGGUACCCACAGAAGAAGUCCCGGCAAACUCCGUGCCAGCAGCCGCGGUAAUACGGAGGGGGCAAGCGUUGUUCGGAAUUAUUGGGCAUAAAGGGCAUGUAGGUGGUUUGGUUAGUUAAAGGUGAAAUGCCAGGGCUUAACCC
rnacentral:rRNA from 1 species